rnacentral:rRNA from 1 species
UGGUUGACCUCGGAUCAGGUAGGAAUACCCGCUGAACUUAAGCAUAUCA